AGGAAAAAACGAGGCUCCAAGGCUUUGGGAAGGAGGAGGCAGCCUGGCAGGGAGGUUUCUCCGGUGGAGGGGCAGCUCCUCAGCAACGAGGGGUGGGGAUUUGGGGCCCCGGUGCCCUCCUGGAGGAAGUUCCUCGGGUGCCUGUUAGACAUUGAGCGCUUUGUGAGGGCCGGCUGGCUGCCCACUCCCUUAAGGGAACUUGACAGAUCUUAAAAAAAAAUCAAUUUUAAGCUCACAUGCCCCAGUGGGUGCCAAAGCCACUUCAGAGAGGCUGAGAGAUGGCUGAGUCGACAGGAUUUGACUUCCAGAGGUAGAAAGCAGCUGACCUUUCACUGGGAGGCACCUGAGGAAAGCUCUGGAAGGUUGGCAUCAAUCUGGGCCAGCCACGUGCUAAAAUACCUCCCAGGGCUGAAUGGUGGUGAGCCCAGCUCUUCUGCAGUGGGAAAGCAGGGAAUUCCUGGCCAAAGAGUGGGGUGUGGUGUGAGCUCCAUUGUAUUUGAGCUACUCAGAGGAGCAACAAGCUGCACCAUGUGACUCAGCCACAGAUUUUUUGGUUCUGCAAUUUAAUCUCUUGCAUUUUAUA